rnacentral:rRNA from 1 species
GAAAGGCGCUUUCGGGUGUCGCUGAUGGAUGGACCCGCGGUGCAUUAGCUAGUUGGUGAGGUAACGGCUCACCAAGGCGACGAUGCAUAGCCGACCUGAGAGGGUGAUCGGCCACAUUGGGACUGAGACACGGCCCAAACUCCUACGGGAGGCAGCAGUAGGGAAUCUUCGGCAAUGGACGAAAGUCUGACCGAGCAACGCCGCGUGAGUGAAGAAGGUUUUCGGAUCGUAAAACUCUGUUGUUAGAGAAGAACAAGGAUGAGAGUAACUGUUCAUCCCUUGACGGUAUCUAACCAGAAAGCCACGGCUAACUACGUGCCAGCAGCCGCGGUAAUACGUAGGUGGCAAGCGUUGUCCGGAUUUAUUGGGCGUAAAGCGAGCGCAGGCGGUUUCUUAAGUCUGAUGUGAAAGCCCCCGGCUCAACCGGGGAGGGUCAUUGGAAACUGGGAGACUUGAGUGCAGAAGAGGAGAGUGGAAUUCCAUGUGUAGCGGUGAAAUGCGUAGAUAUAUGGAGGAACACCAGUGGCGAAGGCGGCUCUCUGGUCUGUAACUGACGCUGAGGCUCGAAAGCGUGGGGAGGAAACAGGAUUAGAUACCCUGGUAGUCCA